rnacentral:rRNA from 1 species
CCCCAGACUCCUACGGGAGGCAGCAGUGGGGAAUAUUGCACAAUGGGGGAAACCCUGAUGCAGCGACGCCGCGUGAGCGAUGAAGUAUUUCGGUAUGUAAAGCUCUAUCAGCAGGGAAGAAGAUGACGGUACCUGACUAAGAAGCCCCGGCUAACUACGUGCCAGCAGCCGCGGUAAUACGUAGGGGGCAAGCGUUAUCCGGAUUUACUGGGUGUAAAGGGAGCGUAGACGGCGGCGCAAGCCAGAUGUGAAAGCCCGGGGCUCAACUCCGGGACUGCAUUUGGAACUGUGUGGCUGGAGUGUCGGAGAGGCAGGCGGAAUUCCUAGUGUAGCGGUGAAAUGCGUAGAUAUUAGGAGGAACACCAGUGGCGAAGGCGGCCUGCUGGACGAUGACUGACGUUGAGGCUCGAAAGCGUGGGGAGCAAACAGGAUUAGAUACCCGCGUAAA